UUCUACCCUUUGUGACUAUUAUACCUGUUGCUUCGGCGGCGCCCGCGAGGGUGCCCGCCGGUCUCAUCAGAAUCUCUGUUUUCGAACCCGACGAUACUUCUGAGUGUUCUUAGCGAACUGUCAAAACUUUUAACAACGGAUCUCUUGGCUCCAGCAUCGAUGAAGAACGCAGCGAAACGCGAUAUGUAAUGUGAAUUGCAGAAUUCAGUGAAUCAUCGAAUCUUUGAACGCACAUGGCGCCUUCCAGUAUCCUGGGAGGCAUGCCUGUCCGAGCGUCGUUUCAACCCUCGAGCCCCCGUGGCCCGGCGUUGGGGAUCUGCCACGGCAGGCCCCUAAAACCAGUGGCGGACCCGAAGGCCCUCUCCUUUGCGCAGUAGCAUCAGCCUCGCAUUGGGAUCCCUCGGCGUCCUGCCUCUAAACCCCCCACAAGUCCGCUCCGGCGGCACCAAGGUUGACCUCGGAUCAGGUAGGAAUACCCGCUGAACUUAAGCAUAUCAAUAAGCGGAGGA
rnacentral:rRNA from 1 species